rnacentral:rRNA from 1 species
GGGAGGCAGCAGUGAGGAAUAUUGGUCAAUGGGCGCAAGCCUGAACCAGCCAUGCCGCGUGCAGGAUGACGGUCCUAUGGAUUGUAAACUGCUUUUGUACGGGAAGAAACACUCCGACGUGUCGGAGCUUGACGGUACCGUAAGAAUAAGGAUCGGCUAACUCCGUGCCAGCAGCCGCGGUAAUACGGAGGAUCCAAGCGUUAUCCGGAAUCAUUGGGUUUAAAGGGUCCGUAGGCGGUCUUGUAAGUCAGUGGUGAAAGCCCAUCGCUCAACGAUGGAACGGCCAUUGAUACUGCAGGACUUGAAUUAUUGGGAAGUAACUAGAAUAUGUAGUGUAGCGGUGAAAUGCUUAGAGAUUACAUGGAAUACCAAUUGCGAAGGCAGGUUACUACCAAUGGAUUGACGCUGAUGGACGAAAGCGUGGGUAGCGAACAGGAUUAGAUACCCUGGUAGUCCACGCCGUAAACGAUGGAUACUAGCUGUUGGGCGCAAGUUCAGUGGCUAAGCGAAAGUGAUAAGUAUCCCACCUG